UUUUCAGAAAUAACACAUUUAUCAAGCCAUACAUUGCUAAUAACUGAAUCAAUUUACUAAAAGUUUUCAGCCAAGUUGGAUUCAUCAUACAUUUUAAUCAUUGUCAUCAUGAAAUUCAUUCAUAUUUAUUUUAUCUUAAUCUUGUUGGGCAUUCUUGUUUGUCAAACUAUGUCUUGUGAUAGUGACAAGGAUUGUAAUCGUGAUGAAGCUUGCUUUUUCGAUAAGCCCCCACCAGCACCUGGCUCUUGUAUUCGAUUUUCAGGCUUGUGAUUAAGCAUCUGUGGGAUAGCGAUUCACUAAUUGGGUCAACAGAUCUGGUGAUUUUCCGUUUUCCAUUAAAAUUUAACGAAUUAAAAUAUUGAACCCUUCCAUCUAAAAUGAAUAAAAUUUGAUGAAAUGAA